CACCUUUUGACUUUUCAACCAAAAUGGAUAUUUAUCUUCCUAUGUCGUCUCUUUCUUCAUAAUUCCAGAGAGCUCGACCAAAUAAGACCCCUAAUCUCACCCUUAAUCUGUCCACAGGGUUAUCCAACAAGAUUAUCGUCCGAGGCAUGAAAUUACGAAGCAAUAGCACUAGAACGAUCCCCACGACGUAUGUAUCGCUAUAUAGCCUCUCUUUUUCUUUGUAGUUUGAGUUUUGGAAGGUAUUUUGAAGUUAAUAAAAAUUCUUAAUAUUUGGUUUCAAGAUCGUAAACAUUAAGGAAGAUUGAUUAAUUUAUUUCAUAAUAGUUAGAAAUCAUGGGACGAUGAUCGAAAGCCGUGAGUUCGAGUUAUUUGAUUUGUAAUGGACAGUUUUGUGGGCUGCUUCGUGUAGCUUUUGGGCUGUAUAUUUGCUGCUAUUUAAUGGAGUUUUUGGAAGAUAAAUGGUGUGUAGAAACACCACUUAAUGACGAAAUGAUGGAUUAGUCAUUCUUUGUAAUAUUUUCGGGGUGUUGGACACUACUAUAGUCGUCGUUUCUGGUAUGAAUUGAUUGGGGUGUGUUGGGAUGUUGUAAUCUAAAUAUAACAUGGAUUUAGACUUGCAUCCACUGUAACAGGUAAUUAUAUUGUGUUCCUACAGGCGCUUAAGGUUAUCUUAGCAUUGGUUAAGUUAAAUGGAUGAACUAGACAUGAACUAGUGAAUAAAGUUGCAAAAUAAGAAUAAUUGGAGUUGUGGAUCAUUUUCUUUGUUAUGGAUAUAUGGUAAAGGCUGGAAUUAUUGAUGAAUGAGUUCAUUAUCAUGUUAAUGAUACUAUUAAGUUAAAGUAAAAAGUCUAUAAGGGAUGAUAUGGGAUAUACGAAUUCUAAUUGAAGCUUGUCGCUCGUCGUAAAAUAGUUAUGACUUGUUGUUGCUUUAUGGUGUCUUGUUAUUGAUAAUUAUGUAUUUCUGGAUUUUUUUGGUAAUUGUUGUUGGUAUAUGAUAUUGGAGGAGGCUCUUGUUACAGGGGAGAUGCUGCCCGAAUUUAUAUAAACGGGCUACAAAUUUAAGUUGCAGACUUAGCCUUUAUUCAACACUGAUUUUGAAUCUCCUUAUGCAAUUGUAGAUUGAGUUGAGUUGUUUGAAGAGUAGCUUGGGAGGUACUAAGGACUCAGCAUGGUUAAGGUAUGUUAAGUCACUUCCCUCUUUCUUUUGGCAUGAUAUAAAGUGAAAUGAAUAAGCUAUUUCAUAACGGAUUUACUCCUAGAAACUAAGGUUGUCCAUGUUGUUCUUUCCUUAUAAAGUUAUUUUAAGCAACUAUGUAUGAUCCUUAAAUCCUAUAGAAGAUCAUAUUGAUGGUAUGAUGUCCAUAAUGUUAAUCGAAGGUGCAACGACCUUAAGUCACUCCAAAAGGUUUAGAACGUGAUUCCAUGAGUCUACCAUGCAUUAUAUAUAGUAUCUAUUUUACUCUACCGAGUCACGCUAUAGUAGGCCGGGUUCGACACCUAUUGUGCAACCACUGAUCAGUUGGGUUUACCGAGCUCCAUGUGACCAGGUACGAUUCUACCGAGCCUUAUGAUGGUCGGGUACGUUUUUACCGAGUCCUCUUUAAGGCCGGGUACGAUAUGAUGAUGAUGAUGAUGCCUACAAAGGCAUAUGUUUUUAAGAGUUUAUGUAUAUAUAUGUAUUAUGCAUUUCAUAUCAGUAGCACCCAGAGGCACGCAGAUGUUACAAGUUAUAUCUCAUCUAUCUCUCUUUAUAUUAUUGUUCUUGUUUAUGCUUUUCUGCCUUACAUACCCGAUACUUUAUUUGUACUGACGUCUCUUUUGCCUUGGGACGCUGCGUUUCAUGCCCGCAGGUCCCAAUUGAUAAGUUGAUAUUCCUCCAAGUAGGCUAUCAGCUCAGCGGGGGUGUUGGUGCACUCCACUUGCUCCGGAGUUGCAUAUUUGGUCAGUAUUCUUUGGAUAUAUAUUGAUUAGUAUGGCGGGGCCCUGUUAUGGCCUUUAUGAUUUUAUGUACUCUUAGAGGCUUGUAGACAGAUGUCAGGUUUAUGGAUACGUGUAUGGCCUUGUUAGCCUAUGUGUUAAGUUUACAAAUGGUCAUGUCGGCCUUAUAGGCCCGUAUGUCACAUGUAUAAGUUUGUAUAUCAUGUUGGGUCGUCAUAUGUUGAGUAUUCCCUUAUGUUUUAUUCUUGUGAUCUCAUGACGGAUUUCUGGCUCAUUUACUCAAGAUAGUAUAAUAAGAAAGAUAUGUUAUGUUGGUACUCAGUUGAGUAAGGCACCGGGUGCCCGUCGCGGCCCUUCGGUUUGGGUCGUGACACUUUGGUAGUACUUUUUAAUUUCUGAUAUAUUUUCCCUUUACUUUACUCUUUCUGGGCUGUAAUAAUUUGUAAUAAAACUCUCGGGGAUGGAUAGUGAAAAGGAAGGGGUAAC
rnacentral:lncRNA from 1 species